rnacentral:sRNA from 1 species
AACAUACGGUACAAAAUACAGAUUAUAUU